CACACACACACACAGUUGAGAGGUCAUCACACACACACACACACACAGUGAUGGUGUGAACUCACUCUGGUCACUCGCAGCCUCCGUCCUCCAUGUUGGACUGAAAAAGAUCAGAAGAAGACGUGUGAUGUCAUCACAGACUGUUCUCACCUGUUCUCCAGGAGGAUCUUGGUGACCAGGUUCUUGAGACUGGAGUGGAACGAGUCUGGGAAGAGAGCGAGGAUCUUCUCCGGGGAGCCGAGGUUGUGGAAGAGGACGUGACGAGAGAGAAGGUGGAGCGAGCCGACGAGCUGCAGGAGGAGAAGAGAGUUUCAUCUAAAGUCCAGGUUCCACUGAGAACCUGAGCAGAACAGAACAACAGGAUCCACGUCCGGGACUGAGCCAGAGAACAACUGAACAUCAAACCAGAAAUCCUAUAAUUAUGGAUAUUAUCUGACAUUAAGUCACUUGUAGUCUUUUGUACGAUAACGUCCAUGAUUAUAUGAUUUCAGGUUUGAUUUAUUCACAGGUGUGAGUGUUUAUGACAAAUCAUAUCUGAGAGGAAUGUGGUGAUUAUCAAUCUCUGUUUCAGUCUUUUAGAACGUCCAAGUUUGUCUGUAAUAAAUAAUAACUAGUCUCUA